UACGAAGGGGGCGAGCGUUGUUCGGAAUCACUGGGCGUAAAGGGCGCGUAGGCGGCCCUCUUAGUCGCGUGUGAAAGCCCCGGGCUCAACCUGGGAACGGCGCGCGAAACGCGAGGGCUGGAGUUCGGGAGAGGAGAGUGGAAUUCCCAGUGUAGAGGUGAAAUUCGUAGAUAUUGGGAAGAACACCGGUGGCGAAGGCGGCUCUCUGGACCGAGACUGACGCUGAGGCGGGAAAGCGUGGGGAGCAAACAGG
rnacentral:rRNA from 1 species